UACGUAGGGUCCGAGCGUUUGUCCGGAAUUAUUGGGCGUAAAGAGCUCGUAGGCGGUCUGUCGCGUCGGCUGUGAAAACACGGGGCUCAACUCCGUGCCUGCAGUCGAUACGGGCAGACUAGAGUUCGGUAGGGGAGACUGGAAUUCCUGGUGGAGCGGUGAAAUGCGCAGAUAUCAGGAGGAACACCCGUGGCGAAGGCGGCUCUCUGGGACGGUACUGACGCUGAGACGCGAAAGCGUGGGGAGCGAACAGG
rnacentral:rRNA from 1 species